rnacentral:rRNA from 1 species
GCCAGACUCCUACGGGAGGCAGCAGUGGGGGAUAUUGCACAAUGGGGGAACCCUGAUGCAGCGACGCCGCGUGGGUGAAGGAGCGUUUCGGCGCGUAAAGCCCUAUCGGCAGGGAAGAAGGAGGACGGUACCUGACUAAGAAGCCCCGGCUAACUACGUGCCAGCAGCCGCGGUAAUACGUAGGGGGCAAGCGUUAUCCGGAGUUACUGGGUGUAAAGGGGGCGCAGACGGCAGCGCAAGCCAGGAGUGAAAGCCCGUGGCUUAACCACGGGACUGCUCUGGAAACUGUGCAGCUAGAGUGCAGGAGAGGCAGGCGGAAUUCCUAGUGUAGCGGUGAAAUGCGUAGAUAUUAGGAGGAACACCGGUGGCGAAGGCGGCCUGCUGGACUGUAACUGACGUUGAGGCUCGAAAGCGUGGGGAGCAAACAGGAUUAGAUACCCUGGUACGC